rnacentral:rRNA from 1 species
CCUACUGGUGGCAGCAGUGAGGAAUAUUGGUCAAUGGACGCAAGUCUGAACCAGCCAUGCCGCGUGCAGGAAGAAGGUGCUAUGCAUUGUAAACUGCUUUUAUACGGGGGUAAUUACAGAUACGUGUCUCUGGAUGAAAGUACCGUAUGAAUAAGGAUCGGCUAACUCCGUGCCAGCAGCCGCGGUAAUACGGAGGAUCCGAGCGUUAUCCGGAUUUAUUGGGUUUAAAGGGUGCGUAGGCGGUCAGGUAAGUUAGAGGUGAAAGCUAGAGGCUCAACAUGGGAACUGCCUCUGAUACUGUGUGACUAGAGUGUAGUGGCGGAAGGCGGAAUG